UACAGAGGGGGCAAGCGUUAUUCGGAAUUACUGGGCGUAAAGGGCGCGUAGGCGGCGUAACAAGUCACUUGUGAAAUCUCCGGGCUUAACCCGGAGCGGCCAAGUGAUACUGUUGUGCUAGAGUGCGGAAGGGGCUACUGGAAUUCCCAGUGUAGCGGUGAAAUGCGUAGAUAUUGGGAAGAACACCUGAGGCGAAGGCGGGUUGCUGGGCCGACACUGACGCUGAGGCGCGAAAGCCAGGGGAGCAAACGGG
rnacentral:rRNA from 1 species